rnacentral:lncRNA from 1 species
ACCGCCGUUAACACGCACGUGGAGGUUUGUUAAAGGUAUAGGUACUGCAGUAGCUCAGGUGGGGAUCGGGGGAGGAGCCCCUGGGGGCUUAAGGAGAGUGGCCAGUAAUAAGUGGGAGCCCCAUCGUAGGUAACUGGAAGCCAGUUUUGGGCAGGAAGUACCACCUAGGAGGGGAGGUUGGUGGACUGGGAAAGAAAAAAAUGGAAAAUGGAAUUAGGGAUCUGACUCCGAGGCAAGGUGAAUUGGGACACACAGAGAAAGGGGCAGUCUGAUUGGAGGAAAAUUGUGACUUGAGAGUGGGAGAGGUUGAAAUAACUUUUAUGGAUCAUACACUUGCUAUGCAGUGGGGAUGGGGGCUAGAACUCUGAGGUCUGGGGAGGUGCACUGGGGUCUGGAAGAGACUGGGAUGAGAAGGGAGACCACUUAAUGGGAAAGAAAAAGAGGGAAAUUUGGGGUCAAACCAUCCAAGAUCAGACCCCUCUACCUCUUCCAGCUCUGAUCUCCCUUCCUCCUGCCUCAUAUCUCAAUUCUGCUGUCUUUUUUCCAUGAUACCAUAAACAAUGAUACCCUGUCCAAUUGCACCAAAGUUUAUACUAGCCAGUGUUCUGUUAGAUGAGAGGUUGUCACUUUCCCACCUCUCCCAGGCCUCUCCCAUCUUGGCUGUUUCCCGUUUUUCACAUUUUGCCUUUCCUAGGUAGUAAGGAUAGUCCUUAGGUCAAUGCCAGCAAUAUCCAAGGAUAUAGGGGAGCAGGUGACUGUACAAAGCCACUUCCAGGCUUUGUACAUAAGACUGAGAAAUGGGAAACCUGCCAAUGCUCAUCCCAGCUUUACCUGCCUGGGGCAGCGUGGGGUUGAGGCCACCAUCAUCUGGAAGGUUGCUGCAAGAGCCAUCUAGGCAGGCCCCUAGGACUGUGCCAGGUAAGAGGGACUCCCGGUCUGCCUGGGUGUCUGCACUGGAUACCUGUCAACCUUUAUAUAUAUAUUCAUGGCUUGAGCCAUAUAGAAUCUGGAAGACACAUUUUCUGCAAAGAAAUUAGACCGUCUCAAGAUUUGAUUUAAUCUUUGGAGUCUCCACUGGUUAGAUUUUUUGAUUCCAUCAUGAUUGUUGAUUUUUGAUUCCAUCUAGAUUGUUGACUAGACUUACUUUCUUGUUGAAGUUGCCUUUCCAAAUGUCUUCCCCAACCCCCAAGCCCCUGCAUGUGAACCUGUGUAAGCAAUAAUUAGUGUCCUUCAUGGGGCCAUGCUCUUUUUGCACUCCUGGGCUAUUGCUACCCUGGAUCUGGAUUCUAAUGGGCACCAAGAUUAAGAUUAUUUGUGUAGUUUGCUUAAAAGUCAAGAACUGCAGGGCACGGAUGGUGGCACAUGCCUGUAAUUCCAGCUACUCUGCAGGUUGAAGCUGGAGGUUUGCAAGUUCAAGGCCAGUCUGGGCAGUUGAGCAAGACCCUGUCUCAAAAUAAAAAAUAGGAGGGGCCAGGAGACAUAGCUCAGGAUUUAAUCCCCUGAACAGUAGAGUAGUUGCAGGUAUUUAACAGAUGUUUCCAUUAGAUAAAGGGAAGCAAAACAAGGGGACAGACAGUCCAGAAGCCUCAUAAAGCGAGCAGAUGUUGGAAUUUUCUUAACAAGUGUUUGCCACAUGGACAAUGGAACAGGCAUUCAGGAAGAGGGAAGAUGGUGAGUAAAGGCAUGACACCUGGGGAAUGGGAGGACUGCUGCUGGAGCCUGGCAGUCAGAAACAAGCCAAAUGAGCCGGCAGAGCCCUG